GGACGACUUUUUCGAACAGUAAGCCACCCCGUACCCGACGCCAGACGGCGUACACACUUUACGGUCUCGAAAACCGUUAAUCGGGUAACCGAUUCGUGGGUUCGAAUCCCACCUCCUCCA
rnacentral:tRNA from 1 species